rnacentral:lncRNA from 1 species
UCCUCACAAACUUCCUUCUUUCAUUUACAAUAAUGGGCUUGAUGCAAUGCAGACGCAAUAAGACUAUGUGACAGAAUGGGCUAUGAGGCAGGGAGUUCUUAACCGAGACCCUUGGCCUAGUGUGGUGCUGGCCUUGGCCAAGUGUGGCCUGUGGGUUGUGUGAAGAGCUAGGCCUGUGUGUGCCUGUAUGGAUCCUUAGUCUUAUAUCUCGAUGUGUUGUUGGCCAAUUCCUUAACUGUUCUUAGUUCAUCAAUUAUAUUUGGAUAAACACCUGAUACUAUUCUUUAGUUAGAAAAAAGAACAAAAUGGGUCAAGUAACUCUUACUAAAUUAGUGUCAACUUCGACACCUAAUUAUUAUUAUAUGCAAGUAUAUU